GAUGAACGCUGGCGGUGUGCCUAAUACAUGCAAGUCGAGCGAACAGACGAGAGUGCUUGCACUCUCUGACGUUAGCGGCGGACGGGUGAGUAACACGUGGGUAACCUACCUAUAAGACUGGGAUAACUUCGGGAAACCGGAGCUAAUACCGGAUAAUAUUUAGCUUCGCAUGAAGCAAUAGUGAAAGACGGUUCUGCUGUCACUUAUAGAUGGACCCGCGGUGUAUUAGCUAGUUGGUGAGGUAACGGCUCACCAAGGCAACGAUACAUAGCCGACCUGAGAGGGUGAUCGGCCACACUGGGACUGAGACACGGCCCAGACUCCUACGGGAGGCAGCAGUAGGGAAUCUUCCGCAAUGGACGAAAGUCUGACGGAGCAAUGCCGCGUGAGUGAAGAAGGUUUUCGGAUCGUAAAACUCUGUUGUAAGGGAAGAACAAGUACGUUAGUAACUGAACGUACCUUGACGGUACCUGACCAGAAAGCCACGGCUAACUACGUG
rnacentral:rRNA from 1 species